CGUUUAUUUAUUUUUGAAAGACAGAGAGACAGAGCACAAGCAGAGAGAGAAAGAGAUACAGAAUCCGAAGCAGGCUCCAGGCUCUGAGCUGUCUGCACAGAGACCAACAUGGGGCUCAAACCGUGAGAUCAUGACCUGAGCCAAAGUUGGCUGCUUAACUGACUGAGCCACCCAGACGCCCCUCCUCUUAGUUUUUAAAAUCAAAAACAAAUGGAGACCCGCCUUGAAAAUUCCCUGAGCAUACAAAACCAGUUUAAUUCUACAAACAAAGCUUAAUUUAACUUUAAGUUAGCAAGACUAACUUGACCUGAGUUGUUUUUUGCUUUUGCCUCUGGAAAUCAUAAGCAAAAUUCACCUUUUCCCAAGGUUGAUAUGAGGUAGCCACUGGCCAUCUCCCUAUCAUUUAAGAAAAGUUUAAUGUUAUAACAAAUCCCUGUGAACAGUCUCUGCUUUCUUACUAUAUAAGCAGCUUUAUAACAACAUAACCUUGAGCCUCAUUCCAUAUUUUGGUUUGAGUGCUCCUGGUUUGCAAACUGUCUUUUUGGUGUGUGUAUAACACACCUAUGAUCCAUUGGUUUUCCUUCCAUUAUUUUUGAACUUUUGACAUUUCAUGUCAUCAGAAGUGGAGCCCAAAGAAGACCUCUAACAAUUUUGAAACCGGUGAGCCAGCAGGUGCUGGUACCCACAGAGCCCACUGAGCUCACUACUUUCUCAUCCACCCUGGAGCUUGAGGGUAAGUCUAUCUUGGAUCCAAACUCCACUCUCUGUGUUUUGAGCUCUGCAACUUUAUUGUGCAUACCUGCAUUUGAUUUGUUGAAGCUUCUCGGUCAGUCACCCUAUUGUGUUCAGAAGUGGGGAGGAGGGGAAUACACGAUUCCCUGUGUUUUGGAACAAAUAUUGGAAAAUACGGCACCUCAUAGUUAGGAUGUCUUAUGAAAUCUAAAGCAAAGAUGAUUUCCCCCUGAUCUAUGAGCCACGAUCUUGAGCCAUUUUGGAAAAUGGCUGAACUUUUGGAAUCAUUGUGAAAUCUUUCACUCAGAUAAGUCCACCUUAAGGGGAUACCCUUAAAAGAGAUGAUUCCAAACCCCUCAGAGACAGUAAAAUGCAUUUUUAAUUGAUAUGUAGAAGCUUCUAAAUGACAAAGACUCUGAAAACAGCUCUAAAAGGAUUCUCACAGCAUGCAAAUAAAAAAUCUUUAGUAAAAACUCUCUGGCCAUCUGAGCAGAUAGCCUUAACUUAGUCCAGCUGCCAGAAACACAAUUUUGAUCCAACUAUUCUUUUGAGUUCUGUACCUGAGACAUGGUUAAAAUAUUUUUUUUAAAGUUGUAAGAUCUCUGUGUCUGCCUGUAUGUUCAUGUAUGUCCAUGUAUGUAUGUGAUAUGUUUCUAUCUCCAGGUGAUACUGCCAAAAUUAAUUUGUAAAAAGCUCUGUUUAAUUGGCUUAAAGAAAAUCAAGCAUUUAUACAAAUCAAGUAUGCUCUCAGAAAUAUGGAAAGUAAUCCAAACGUUUUUCAAGUUCAUGUGAUUUGAGAUAAUCUUUGAUAAAUGAAAGCCGGUUUACGUUUAUUGGUUUAAUAAAAGCAGGCCUGUCUUCAAAAUUUGUCAACAAGAAAAAUAAGUUAAGGUGAUUAGUUGUUUAAUGUCUAAUCUAAGCAUAAUCGUUAAAAGCAAGUAAUUUAAACAAAUAUAUAGCUUAUACUAAGGUAAACUAAAUAAUGGAUAUUCAUUGAAUAUAUAAAUCAUCUCCAAAUAAGAUAAGCAUUCAAUGCUAAGUGUAAGUUUAUCUACUUUUGGCUUUUUUCUAAUUUUUUACAGAAAGACAAAAUAUAUUUGGGUUUAUUAACCAUGUUUCGUGCCACAUUUAAAAAGUACCAUGAGGGGGCGCCUGGGUGGCUCAGUUGGUUAAGUAUCCAUCUCAGGCUUAGGUCAUGAUCUCACAGUUUGUGAGUUCAAGCCCCGCAUCAGGCUCUGUGUUGACGGCUCAGAGCCUGGAGCCUCCUUCAGAUUCUGUGUCUCCCUCACUCUCUGCCACUCCCCAGCUUGCACUCUGUCUCUCUCUCUCUUUCUCUCUCUCUCAAAAUAAAUGAACAUUAAAAACAAAAGUUACCAUGAGGAAGAAUAUGCUUCUAGAAAUUAUGAAAUGUGUUUAUCAAUUUUCUAGUCCAAUAAUUGCUUACUUCUUAGUUUAAACUAGGAAUUAAGGAUUCUAAGGGUUAAGAAUUUUGAUAAAUAUAUGUAAUUAAAACUACUAGAAAUAAUAAGGUUGAAAAAACAACUGUCUAUGGAAAGCAGAAAGGUAAGAAAAAUAGAAUGUGUUUUGGAUAAGGAAAGGCAUGAAGGACGUGGGGUGUUUUUUUUUUGUUUUUUUUGUUUUUUUUUUGUUUUUUUUUGCUUUGGGUUUUGGUUGUUUUGUUUUGUUAAGAGAAAAAAGAAAGUAAGUUUGUCCUAGAGUAAAAUGAUUAUUCCUAAUUAAGAAAGGAAAAAAAUAAGAAAAAACCUAAAUGGAUAGAGAAAAUUGUGUAAGUUGUGGACAAGGAAUCUUGAGAAGGGAAUUUUAGGUGUGGUCAAGCUGAUUAAGAUUGAAAUGGAUUUAUUUAUGUUAAAAAAAUGGAGAGUUUUAAUAUCAAAAGUACACUGAAGCAGAAUCAGAAUUUAGUUUUCUCUCUAUUAAAAGGACAAAAGUUUCUUAGAUUAUUGGUCUGCUCUUUUUUUAAAAAAAUUUUUUAAUGUUUAUUUAUUUUUGAGAAAGAGACAGAGUGCAAGUGGUGGGGGCAGGGGGGCGGUGGCAAAGAGAUGUGGAGACACAGGAUCUGAAGCAGGCUCCAGGCUCUAAGCUGCACAGAGUCCGACGCAGGGCUCGAACUCACAAACUGUGAAAUCAUGACCUGAACUGAAGUCAGAUGCUUAACCAACUAAGCCACCCAGGCGCCCCUGUUCUGCUCUUAAUAAAAAUUAUAAACAAAGAUUUUUCUUUACCUUUAAUGUAAUCUGUCUAGAAAACAAAGAUUCUGUGUUUUGUCUUUAUAAAGUCUUUGAUCAUUUAGGAAAGAACCCAGUCUUCUCUAUUAAAAGAGCUAGGUUUUUGUUGUUGUUUUACAAGGAUGUAACUUCCGGUAUUUGCUUUUUAAAUUUUUUUAAUGUUUUAUUUUAUUUUUGAAACAGAGAGCAUGAGCGGUGGAGGGCAGAGAGAGAGAAAAACACAGAACCCAAAGCAGGCUCCAGGCUCUGAGCUGUCAGCACACAGCCCCACACUGGACUCGAACUCGUCAACUGUGAGAUCAUGACCUGAGCCGAGGUCAGGCACUCAACUGACUGAGCCACCCAGGUGUUUUUUAAAUCUUUUAUCACUUUGGUUUAAUGGGUAACUAAAUAUUGUAUCACAGUGAUCUAUGAUUGUAUUUUAUCAAAUAAUAAUUUGUCUUUUGACAUUUGUAACAAACUUCCCCAGAUGAAAUUCUGAAUAAAGUAGUAAGAGAAAUGUUAAUUUCUUUGGUCAUUUGAGAUGUUAAAUUACAUGGGAAGCAUGGUCAAAUAAGAAGCGAUGCUGAACUUUCUUUAGCUUAUACUUAUAUAUGUUAAUAUAAGUGUUCCAGAGAUUGUAUGAAAUUCCUAAAAAUCCGAUGUGUUCUGGUAUAACGUUAUCAGCCAUGAUUUUUAAAUGUAUGUCACAAAAAGAACCAAAUUUAGUUGUCAAUUUCAUCAUUGUCUUUGUUUGUGUAUGUGAACUCUU
rnacentral:lncRNA from 1 species